rnacentral:rRNA from 1 species
UACGUAGGGUCCGAGCGUUGUCCGGAAUUACUGGGCGUAAAGAGCUCGUAGGUGGUUUGUCGCGUUGUUCGUGAAAACUCACAGCUCAACUGUGGGCGUGCGGGCGAUACGGGCAGACUUGAGUACUGCAGGGGAGACUGGAAUUCCUGGUGUAGCGGUGAAAUGCGCAGAUAUCAGGAGGAACACCGGUGGCGAAGGCGGGUCUCUGGGCCGAAACUGACGCUGAGGAGCGAAAGCGUGGGGAGCGAACAGG